rnacentral:rRNA from 1 species
UACGUAGGGUCCGAGCGUUGUCCGGAAUUAUUGGGCGUAAAGGGCUCGUAGGCGGUUUGUCGCGUCGGGAGUGAAAACACGGGGCUUAACCCCGUGCCUGCUUCCGAUACGGGCAGACUAGAGGUAUGCAGGGGAGAACGGAAUUCCUGGUGUAGCGGUGAAAUGCGCAGAUAUCAGGAGGAACACCGGUGGCGAAGGCGGGUCUCUGGGCAAUAACUGACGCUGGAGGAGCGAAAGCGUGGGAGCGAAC